CCUGCCCAUAGAGGUGUUGGAGGUCUGGCUGCUGUGUCACAUGUGUAUCAGUUGUUGACAGAGAGGAGAGAGGUUAUGUCUACACUCAGUAUUAUGGCCUGUGGAGAGUUAAAUGAUGAGUAACCUUAGAUU